GGUGGGCGUGGCUACAUGCAGCUUAGCCACGCCCCUCGAGGGGUUGUCUCGCUACAAAGAACAGCAGGAAUCCCUCUCUCAGAAAAAUGGUGGUGCAUAAAACUGGCACGUGACUGCCUUGGUGCUUGGUAUUAGAUAAGAUCACGAUGAAGGGCUUCUUUUUUUUUUUUUGGACAUUCUGUAUUUUUUUUUCCUCUCUUCCAUUUUGUUCGUGAAUAUCACAUCGUGUAAAAUGUCUAAAAGGUGAAGCAGCGGAAGUACUGGUUGUUGACGGCGGACUGAAGUUGUUUUUUUUUUUUACACGGAUGGACAUUUCUAUGGAUAGUCACGAUUUCAGCUUGCUCGGCACGAUCAGUGAGGAUUGGAUACUCUCCAGCCCUUGCAAAUUUUUAUCAGGUCAUGCAACAAAAGUCUCCGCGUGCGCCAGACUCUCCUGUCAGCUGCUGGAACUAACGGGAUCAUCAGUGUGGUCACCUGACCUGCUCUCUCCCAUCCUGCACUGCGGCGUGUUGAUCACUGAUGUGACAUUAUGAUAUCAAAUGUCGCUCUCGGCCGACAGGAGGCUGCCUCGCUCCUUGGACAUAUUCCAGCACGUGAUUUUAGUGCCUUGCUUUAUAACUUUUUUAAUUAUCUUAGACUGAUGUUUAAAUGCCUAAUUUAUUCACAGCUCGCUCAAUGCCGUCUUUCUGAAGAAAAGAAAUGUGGGAUUGACUGUUUUA